CAUGCGGUAGCAGACCCAUCCUGUGUGAGACGCCACAACACAGGGCAACCUUGCAUGGUCCAACCAGAAGUUGCCAUGUGGCCAUGAUUAGAAAAGGAAACGAUUUCUUUCCUUCAUGCAAGUUGCAAUUGCACGAGGUUUCUUCUCUGUUUCACACGCAAGAGCAGUUACCUUUCUCUCCUAUGCUCGACACGAAUGGCAACCGCAAGGGAGGAUGGGAUCACGUGGGGGAGGAGGGAAAGUGGUGCUGGCCAGAGCAUGGCAGGGCAGCGCAGGGGCUCGCCGACCGGCUAGCAGGGGAGGGGCGCGGGCUGGCCUGGCCGGGGCUCAGCGCUAGGCUUCAACGCAGGUGGCAGGGAACCGCGGCCAGGGCUAGGCAGCGGCGGGACUCGCCGGACAGAGGCCACG
rnacentral:misc_RNA from 1 species